GAUGAGGAUAGGCCAUGGAAAGGGUCGCCGACGCCUUGUGAUGAGAUGGAUAAGCAGCUGUUUGCGAGAUGCAUGUCGAUUCAGCUGGGAGACGGAAGCAUUGCGGCGUUCUGGAGGGACCGGUGGCUAAAUGGGGAGGCCCCAUGUUUUAUGUUUCCUGAACUAUACCAGCUGGCCAGAUUCAAGAUCUCGGUUAGAGAGGCGCUCCACAAUGGAAGAUGGAUACAGGGGCUGCAGAGAAUGCCAAUAGAAGGGCAACUUAAUCAUUCCGUCCGGCUUUGGGAGGAGCUUCAAUCGAUCCAGCUCACGGACAACAAAGACAAGAUCCUAUGGACCCUAACUGCUAAUCGGAAAUACUCUAUCGUCUCUGCUUAUGACGCCCACUUUGUGGCAAGGAUCACCAAGCCUGGGCUGGCCCACGUAUGGAGGGGCAAGAUGGAAGGAAAAGUUAAAUUGUACUUAUGGUUGUUGCUGCAAAAUGGAAACUGGAUGGUGGACCGUCUGCAAGCAAGGGGAUUGCCGCACAACGACCUAUGUUUCCUAUGUGAUCAAGAAAAGGAUACGGCCAAACACAUCACCCUGACUUGCUGCUUUGCGAAAGAGGUAUGGCUCCAGUUCCAGCAAGCUAAUGGCAGGAUGGGCAUGGUGGCCUCCUCGACCACUUCCAUUGGAGAUUUGGUGGUCUCGGUUGUGCACAUGCGGUGGAACCAUGGACAAGAACAUAGAUGA
rnacentral:rRNA from 1 species